UGGGGGAUAUUGCACAAUGGGCGAAAGCCUGAUGCAGCGACGCCGCGUGGGGGAUGAAGGCCUUCGGGUUGUAAACUUCUUUUCCUCUGAACAAGGCAUGCUAAUGGGUGUGUUGAGUGUAGGGGUUGAUUAGCGCCGGCUAACUACGUGCCAGCAGCCGCGGUAAUACGUAGGGCGCGAGCGUUGUCCGGAAUUAUUGGGCGUAAAGGGCUUGUAGGUGGCUGGUUGCGUCUGUCGUGAAAGCUCAUGGCUUAACUGUGGGUUUGCGGUGGGUACGGGCUGGCUUGAGUGCAGUAGGGGAGGCUGGAAUUCCUGGUGUAGCGGUGGAAUGCACAGAUAUCAGGAGGAAUACCGGUGGCGAAGGCGGGUCUCUGGGCUGUUACUGACACUGAGGAGCGAAAGCAUGGGGAGCGAACAGG
rnacentral:rRNA from 1 species